rnacentral:rRNA from 1 species
CCCUACGGGGCGCAGCAGUGGGGGAUAUUGCACAAUGGGGGAAACCCUGAUGCAGCGACGCCGCGUGUGGGAAGACGGUCUUCUGGAUUGUAAACCACUGUCCCCAGGGACGAAAAUGACGGUACCUGGGGAGGAAGCUCCGGCUAACUACGUGCCAGCAGCCGCGGUGAUACGUAGGGAGCAAGCGUUGUCCGGAAUUACUGGGGGCAAAGGGAGCGUAGGCGGGAUGGCAAGUUGGGGGUUAAAUCUACCGGCUCAAUUGGU